CCGGGCGCGCAGUGCCGCGCGGUGGCGGCGGCGGGGAGAGCAAUGGAGGCCGCGGCCGCCUGAGGGGCGGGUGCGCUGCUGGUACUGCUGCGGAGGCUGCCGGUGCUGCGGGGCGGCUGCCGGCUUGCUCGCGUCCGCCACCCGCGCGGGACCUCCGGUCGCCGUCCAGUCGCUCCGCCAGCCACGGCGCCGGGCCCAGACUCAGCAUCCUGUCCCGGGGUCCCGGGGUCGGGUCCCUGCUGCGGCGGGGGCAGAGCGAGUCCUCGCCGUCUGGGAUCUCAGACGCUGCCCGCGCUCAGCCCUCUCCCCACGCCGGAGCUGCAUUGCUUUGUUUAACCUCUGACAAGCCAUUUCGCACAAACUCUUGCUGCCCCAAUUCUGAUGAGCCACCAGUUUGA
rnacentral:lncRNA from 1 species